UGGGAAACUGCCUGAUGGAGGGGGAUAACUACUGGAAACGGUAGCUAAUACCGCAUAACGUCGCAAGACCAAAGAGGGGGACCUUCGGGCCUCUUGCCAUCGGAUGUGCCCAGAUGGGAUUAGCUAGUAAGUGGGGUAACGGCUCACCUAGGCGACGAUCCCUAGCUGGUCUGAGAGGAUGACCAGCCACACUGGAACUGAGACACGGUCCAGACUCCUACGGGAGGCAGCAGUGGGGAAUAUUGCACAAUGGGCGCAAGCCUGAUGCAGCCAUGCCGCGUGUAUGAAGAAGGCCUUCGGGUUGUAAAGUACUUUCAGCGGGGAGGAAGGGAGUAAAGUUAAUACCUUUGCUCAUUGACGUUACCCGCAGAAGAAGCACCGGCUAACUCCGUGCCAGCAGCCGCGGUAAUACGGAGGGUGCAAGCGUUAAUCGGAAUUACUGGGCGUAAAGCGCACGCAGGCGGUUUGUUAAGUCAGAUGUGAAAUCCCCGGGCUCAACCUGGGAACUGCAUCUGAUACUGGCAAGCUUGAGUUGUAGAGGGGGUAGAAUUCCAGGUGUAGCGUGAAAUGCGUAGAGAUCUGGAG
rnacentral:rRNA from 1 species